rnacentral:tRNA from 1 species
GCCGGGAUGGCCGAGCGGACUAACCGUCACAAGGUUCAAAGGCGCAGGCCUUGAGAGCCUGUGGCCCUUAUGGGCCUCGAGGGUUCAAAUCCCUCUCCCGGCGCCA